rnacentral:rRNA from 1 species
GAUGAACGCUGGCGGCGUGCCUAAUACAUGCAAGUCGAGCGAACGGACGAGAAGCUUGCUUCUCUGAUGUUAGCGGCGGACGGGUGAGUAACACGUGGAUAACCUACCUAUAAGACUGGGAUAACUUCGGGAAACCGGAGCUAAUACCGGAUAAUAUUUUGAACCGCAUGGUUCAAAAGUGAAAGACGGUCUUGCUGUCACUUAUAGAUAGAUCCGCGCUGCAUUAGCUAGUUGGUAAGGUAACGGCUUACCAAGGCAACGAUGCAUAGCCGACCUGAGAGGGUGAUCGGCCACACUAGAACUGAGACACGGUCCAGACUCCUACGGGAGGCAGCAGUAGGGAAUCUUCCGAAAAGGGCGAAAGCCUGACGGAGCAACGCCGCGUGAGUGAUGAAGGUCUUCGGAUCGUAAAACUCUGUUAUUAGGGAAGAACAUACGUGUAAGUAACUGUGCACAUCUUGACGGUACCUAAUCAGAAAGCCACGGCUAACUACGUG